CCUACGGGAGGCAGCAGUGGGGAAUAUUGGACAAUGGGGGCAACCCUGAUCCAGCCAUGCCGCGUGUGUGAAGAAGGCUUUCGGGUUGUAAAGCACUUUCAGUGAGGAGGAAAACCUUUGGGCUAAUACCCCUGAGGCUGA
rnacentral:rRNA from 1 species